CAGCUCGUGUCGUGAGAUGUGGUUAAGUCCGCAACGAGCGCAACCCCUAUUGUUAGUUGCCAUCAUUCAGUUGGGCACUCUAGCGAGACUGCCGGUAAUAAACCGGAGGAAGGUGGGGAGUGACGUCAAAUCAUCAUGCCCCUUAUGACCUGGGCUACACACGUGCUACAAUGGUUGGUACAACGAGUUGCGAGUCGGUGACGGCGAGCUAAUCUCUUAAAGCCAAUCUCAGUUCGGAUUGUAGGCUGCAACUCGCCUACAUGAAGUCGGAAUCGCUAGUAAUCGCGGAUCAGCACGCCGCGGUGAAUACGUUCCCGGGCCUU
rnacentral:rRNA from 1 species